AGAGUUUGAUCCUGGCUCAGAUUGAACGCUGGCGGAAUGCUUUACACAUGCAAGUCGAGCGGCAGCGCGGGGGCAACCCUGGCGGCGAGCGGCGAACGGGUGAGUAACACAUCGGAACGUACCCUGUCGUGGGGGAUAACCAACCGAAAGGUUGGCUAAUACCGCAUACGACCUGAGGGUGAAAGCGGGGGAUCGCAAGACCUCGCGCGAGAGGAGCGGCCGAUGUCGGAUUAGCUAGUUGGUGAGGUAAAGGCUCACCAAGGCGACGAUCCGUAGCGGGUCUGAGAGGACGGCCCGCCACACUGGAACUGAGACACGGUCCAGACUCCUACGGGAGGCAGCAGUGGGGAAUUUUGGACAAUGGGCGCAAGCCUGAUCCAGCCAUUCCGCGUGAGUGAAGAAGGCCUUCGGGUUGUAAAGCUCUUUCGGCAGGAACGAAACGGUGUGGGCCAAUACCCUGCAUCAAUGACGGUACCUGAAGAAGAAGCACCGGCUAACUACGUGCCAGCAGCCGCGGUAAUACGUAGGGUGCGAGCGUUAAUCGGAAUUACUGGGCGUAGAGCGUGCGCAGGCGGUUUUGUAAGACAGAUGUGAAAUCCCCGGGCUCAACCUGGGAACUGCGUUUGUGACUGCAAGACUCGAGUGUGGCAGAGGGGGGUGGAAUUCCACGUGUAGCAGUGAAAUGCGUAGAGAUGUGGAGGAACACCGAUGGCGAAGGCAGCCCCCUGGGUCAACACUGACGCUCAUGCACGAAAGCGUGGGUAGCAAACAGGAUUAGAUACCCUGGUAGUCCACGCCCU
rnacentral:rRNA from 1 species